rnacentral:rRNA from 1 species
UACGUAGGGUGCGAGCGUUAAUCGGAAUUACUGGGCGUAAAGCGUGCGCAGGCGGUUUGUUAAGACAGGUGUGAAAUCCCCGGGCUUAACCUGGGAAUGGCGCUUGUAACUGGCAAGCUAGAGUGUGUCAGAGGGAGGUAGAAUUCCACGUGUAGCAGUGAAAUGCGUAGAGAUGUGGAGGAAUACCGAUGGCGAAGGCAGCCUCCUGGGAUAACACUGACGCUCAUGCACGAAAGCGUGGGGAGCAAACAGG